UACGUAGGGAGCGAGCGUUAUCCGGAUUUACUGGGUGUAAAGGGAGCGCAGGCGGGACUUCAAGUUGGAUGUGAAAUACUGGGGCUCAACCCCGGGGCUGCAUCCAAAACUGUAGUUCUUGAGUGAAGUAGAGGCAAGCGGAAUUCCGAGUGUAGCGGUGAAAUGCGUAGAUAUUCGGAGGAACACCAGUGGCGAAGGCGGCUUGCUGGGCUUUAACUGACGCUGAGGCUCGAAAGUGUGGGGAGCAAACAGGAUUAGAUACC
rnacentral:rRNA from 1 species